rnacentral:lncRNA from 1 species
UUUAUUAUCAAAUUUCUCUGAAAUAAUUCCAUCUUCUUCUCUGAAGUUUUCAAACUUAGAAAUGCUUAUUUUUAAAAAAGAAAUAUAUUAGAAACCUCUUAUUCCUUUAUAAGUUACAACAUGGUUUGAAACGGGGAACUUCCUUUAUUUCUUUUGCUGGAUUCUGAGUUUCUUCUAGCUUUGAUUCUGGGUUUAAACCUGAUUUUAAGAGUUGUAGAGGCUGUUUAGUUUGUUGCUGUUGUUUUUUGCUUUGGAGUAGCUUUGCCAGCCUCAUUUAAUCCUUUAGCUUCUAGGUACACAAUCUAUUCCUUGAAAUGACUCCUUUGUAUGUGAAGUUCUAUGAAUAAAUGGUUCCUUGUUUUCUGUUGGAUUCUGACUGAUGAGUUGUUAGCCUUUAUGCAAAGCUAAUACUGCUCAUUCUCUAUCAAAUGUGUAUUUUAGAUUUUUUUCAUUAAUGAAGUGACAUGUCUAGAUCCUUACCCCUAAAAUUUGGUUAGCUUAUUGAGUUUGACCCUUCCAUGGUCAAAUUCAUAGCCUAAACCAACCUUCCCCUCCCUUUAAGUGUAUUAUGUAUUUCCUUUAAGGCAGCAUGCCAUGACUGUGAGGUUUAAAACCUCAGUUGAUAU